GAGGAAUAUUGGUCAAUGGGCGAUAGCCUGAACCAGCCAUGUCGCGUGCAGGAAGACGGCCCUACGGGUUGUAAACUGCUUUUGUACGGGAAGAACUGUGCCCACGUGUGGGCACUUGCCGGUACCGUACGAAUAAGGAUCGGCUAACUCCGUGCCAGCAGCCGCGGUAAUACGGAGGAUCCGAGCGUUAUCCGGAUUUAUUGGGUUUAAAGGGUGCGUAGGCGGGCUCAUAAGUCAGCGGUGAAAUUUUGCGGCUCAACCGUAACACUGCCGUUGAAACUGUUUGCCUUGAAUUUAGUUGAAGUGGGCGGAAUGUGUUGUGUAGCGGUGAAAUGCUUAGAUAUAACACGGAACACCGAUUGCGAAGGCAGCCCACUAAGCUAUGAUUGACGCUGAUGCACGAAAGCGUGGGUAGCGAAC
rnacentral:rRNA from 1 species